UACGUAGGGGCAAGCGUUGUCCGGAUUCAUUGGGCGUAAAGAGCGUGUAGGCGGCCAGGUAGGUCGGUUGUGAAAACUGGAGGCUCAACCUUCAGAGGUCGACCGAAACCAUCUGGCUAGAGUCCGGGAGAGGAGAGUGGAAUUCCUGGUGUAGCGGUGAAAUGCGCAGAUAUCAGGAAGAACACCCGUGGCGAAAGCGGCUCUCUGGAACGGUACUGACGCUGAGACGCGAAAGCGUGGGGAGCGAAACAGG
rnacentral:rRNA from 1 species